AGCCAAACUCUAGCCCAACCAUACUUAUAGCACAAACAACCAAAAUCUACUACCAUUAAACCAAAACUAAAACAUUCUACAACCUUAGUAUAGGCGAUAGAAAAGAUCACCUGGAGCAAUAGAGACUUGUACCGCAAGGGAAAGCUGAAAUAACAAUGAAACCCUAAGCAAAAAACAGCAAAGAUAAACCCUUGUACCUUUUGCAUCAUGAUGUAGCAAGCAUAAUCAAGCAAAAUGAACUUAAGCUUGGAAUCCCGAAACCCACGCGAGCUACUUACAAGCAGCUAUUACAUGAGCGAACCCGUCUCUGUCGCAAAAGAGUGGGAUGACUUGUUAGUAGAGGUGAAAAGCCUAUCGAGCUGGGUGAUAGCUGGUUGCCCGUGAAACGAAUCUAAGUUCCCCCAUGAUUAUUCUCUACGGAACCUCACCCAGCCCCCGUGUAGUUAAUCAAGAGUAAUUUAAAGGGGGUACAGCCCCUUUAAAAAAGGAUACAACCUUCACUAGCGGAUAACUUCUUCCCCUUAACUAAAACUGUAGGCCUUCAAGCAGCCACCAACAAAGAAUGCGUCACAGCUCCAAACAAUAAAAAUUUCAAAUCAACACGACUCCCUUACCAAUAACAGGCUAACCUAUAAUUAUAGGAGAAUCUAUGCUAGAAUGAGUAACUAGGGGCUUCCCUCUCAAGCGCAAGCUUACAUUACCAAAUUAUUAACAGACCCACCAUAAAUACUGCAAAUCCAACAAGACAGAUAUUAAACUCCCUGUUAACCCAACCCAGGAGCGCCCAACUAGAAAGAUUAAAAUCUGCAAAAGGAACUAGGCAAAUCCAAGGCCCGACUGUUUACCAAAAACAUAGCCUUCAGCCCACCAAGUAUUGAAGGUGAUGCCUGCCCAGUGACGUCAUGUUUAACGGCCGCGGUAUCCUAACCGUGCAAAGGUAGCGCAAUCAAUUGUCUCAUAAAUCGGGACUUGUAUGAAUGGCUAAACGAGGUCUUGACUGUCUCUUGCAGACAAUCAGUGAAAUUGAUCUUCCUGUGCAAAAGCAGGAAUACGCACACAAGACGAGAAGACCCUGUGGAACUUAAAAAUCCGCGGCCACCCCUUACAAACCUUAACCUACUAGGCCUACCAUCCAAAGCACUGGCCCGCAUUUUUUGGUUGGGGCGACCUUGGAGAAAAGCAGAACCUCCAAAAAUAAGACCACACCUCUUAACUAAGAGCAACCUCUCACCGUACUAACAGUUACCAGACCCAAUAAAAUUGAGCAAUGGACCAAGCUACCCCAGGGAUAACAGCGCAAUCUCCUUCAAGAGCCCAUAUCGACAAGGAGGUUUACGACCUCGAUGUUGGAUCAGGACAUCCUAAUGGUGCAGACGCUAUUAAGGGUUCGUUUGUUCAACGAUUAAUAGUCCUACGUGAUCUGAGUUCAGACCGGAGUAAUCCAGGUCGGUUUCUAUCUGUGAGACACUUUCCCUAGUACGAAAGGACCGGAAAAGUGAGGCCAAUACUAAAAGCACGCCUCCCCUGCAAGUAAUGAAUCCAACUAAAUUGCCAAAAGGACCACCACUCAUCCGCCCUAGAAAACGGCCG
rnacentral:rRNA from 1 species